rnacentral:rRNA from 1 species
AAAACGACUCUCGGCAACGGAUAUCUCGGCUCUCGCAUCGAUGAAGAACGUAGCGAAAUGCGAUACUUGGUGUGAAUUGCAGAAUCCCGUGAACCAUCGAGUUUUUGAACGCAAGUUGCGCCCAAAGCCUUCGGGCCGAGGGCACGUCUGCCUGGGUGUCACGC